CGGACCUAAGGUAGCAUCGCUACCGAAAUCGCCUGUAAUCCGGACAGUACCACGCAUGUGGUAUGGCGAUAUUUCAAACAGCUGCUACGGCAGCACUUCA
rnacentral:ncRNA from 1 species